rnacentral:rRNA from 1 species
AGAGUUUGAUCCUGGCUCAGGACGAACGCUGGCGGCAUGCCUAAGACAUGCAAGUCGAACGAACGAAUUGGUGCUUGCACCAAUAAGUUAGUGGCGAACGGGUGAGUAACAUGUAGGUAACCUACCUCAAAGACGGGGACAACAGUUGGAAACGACUGCUAAUACCGGAUAGUUAAUAGAAUCGCAUGAUUUUAUUAUUAAAGGAGCUUUCAAGCUUCGCUUUGAGAUGGACCUGCACUGUAUUAGCUAGUUGGUGAGGUAAUGGCUCACCAAGGCAUCGAUGCAUAGCCGAGCUGAGAGGCUGAUCGGCCACACUGGAACUGAGACACGGUCCAGACUCCUACGGGAGGCAGCAGUUAGGAAUAUUGGGCAAUGGACGAAAGUCUGACCCAGCAAUGCCGCGUGUGUGAGGAAGGCCUUCGGGUUGUAAGGCACUGUUGUGAAGGAAGAACAGCAUGUAUAGGAAAUGAUACAUGUGUGACGGUACUUCACCAGAAAGCCACGGCUAACUACGUGCCAGCAGCCGCGGUAAUACGUAGGUGGCAAGCGUUGUCCGGAAUUAUUGGGCGUAAAGGGAGCGUAGGUGGUUUGUUAAGUCUGAUGUGAAAGCCCGCGGCUCAACCGCGGAGGGUCAUUGGAAACUGACAAACUUGAAUACAGCAGAGGUAAGUGGAACUUCAUGUGUAGCGGUGGAAUGCGUAGAGAUAUGAAGGAACACCAGUGGCGAAGGCGACUUACUGGGCUGAUAUUGACACUGAUGCUCGACAGCGUGGGGAGCAAAUAGGAUUAGAUACCCUAGUAGUCCACGCCGUAAACGAUGAGUGCUAAGUGUUGGAAGGGCUACCUUUCAGUGCUGAAGCUAACGCAUUAAGCACUCCGCCUGAGGAGUACGGUCGCAAGGCUGAAACUCAAAGGAAUUGACGGGUCCCUGCACAAGCGGUGGAACAUGUGGAUUAACUCGAGGAUACGCGAAGAACCUUACCUACUCUUGACAUCCCUCUGACCGCACUAGAGAUAGUGCUUCUCUUCGGAGCAGAGGUGGCAGGUGGUGCAUGGUUGUCGUCAGCUCGUGUCGUGAGAUGUUGGGUUAAGUCCCGCAACGAGCGCAACCCCUAUCCUUAGUUGCUAACAUUAAGUUGAGGACUCUAGGGAGACUGCCGGUGAUAAACCGGAGGAAGGUGGGGAUGACGUCAAAUCAUCAUGCCCCUUAUGAGUAGGGCUUCACACGUGUUACAAUGGCAAGUACAACGAGCAGCAAGACCGCGAGGUGGAGCUAAUCUCUUAAAGCUUGUCCCAGUUCGGAUUGUAGUCUGCAACUCGACUACAUGAAGUUGGAAUCGCUAGUAAUCCCGGGUCAGCAUACCGGGGUGAAUACGUUCCCAGGGAUUGUACACACCGCCCGUCACGCCACGAGAGUUUGUAACACCCGAAGAUGGUGGCCUAACCU